UUGAUGAUAGCAGGAGUCAUUUACAACAACAAAAGCCUUGGCAAGGAGCCAAAUUGAAGCUUCAACACCUUCACUUGCGGGCAAGUAAACAUUGCUAACAGGACCAAAACUAUCACCUUGAGGGUGUGGCCUGCUUAGUUCAAUGGCCAGUGGCUUCAAAGUUCCAUCAUCUUGCAAGAAAAGUAUGGUUCUGGUAGCAUAGGCCUUUGUCUCGGUUGCAUUUAUUUUCCUCAAAUAUGGAAAGAGUGGGUCGUGGUGAUCAAGUAUGUACAAUCUAUUGUCUUGGAUAGCCUGUAUGACAAAAUAAAAUUUAGCUACUGUGGUUUACUUGAAUAAAAAAAAUUCAAUCAUGGAGAAAAAUAUUAAUCAAACUAAGUCCAUGAGGUGUCAACCCAGUGGUUAAAGUCGACCUUAUAACCUCAAGGGAUAGAUUUCAAAUUUUCUCCCGGACGAAAUUCACGAACGCCACUUUGGAAAAAAAUAGAACUGAUCAAAUAUGUCAUUACCUGUUCUACGGUGACCCCACCCAUGUUUGGCUCCAAGUUUUCUUUGGUUAUGGUGCUGGUAUUAUCACCAAAUUUUUGGCUAUCUAGCUUGCUCUUUGGUGGAAACUCCUGUAUUAAAUUUAGCAAGCAAUAAUGUCACCAAUUACAAAAAUAACAUAAUGUUUACAAAAUAGUCUUAGUUUUAUUUUUUUAAUUUCUUAACAAAGUUAAACUAUUAGCUUUACCGAAAGUUUUUUGAUGAUGUGUGGGUUCACCCCAGCAAUCAUCUCCCUUGCAAAUUCCUCAUCAGUCUGCCAUGCAGAAUGGUCCACUGUUCAUAUUAAGAAAUUUUCAAAAGAUCCAUUAGAUUUCUUUAUAUGAUUUUGUAUAAAUAUAUUACUGCAAGGACUAGGUAUUAUGAUUAAUAUAUACCUUGAAUCACUUUUGGUGGUGGAAACUUAAGUGCUUGUUCACCAUCAGAUCGGAAAAGUUCCUUGAACAAUGGUAUUGGACUAAUCUGGCUUAGUACAUCAGUAGGAAGCUUAAUUCCACCCUCGUAGAGAGAGCGCACAUCUUGAAAGGUGUUAAACUCAGGGUUAUUGAGUUGUAAUGUAACUACAGAUCUCAGUUGAGGUAUGACAUUUUGAGAUGCUGAUUUGAGUAUGUAAACAAGAAAGUCUGAUGACUUUGUGUGUCCAAAAGAUUCAUCUCUUGGAAGGUAAACAGUGGGACUUCGAGUCUCACUCUUAGGAUCUGUUCAAAUAUAUAAUAACAAUAUAUGUUUUAGAAACAAUACCAAAAUCUUUAGAAUCAUAAGCAGGGUAAACAUUUGGAUCAACCAAAAAAACACAUGUUUAGUCCAAAAUCUGACAGAAGUGUUUGUGGCCUAACCUGUUUUAGUUUUUCUUCUGCCAGUUCUUCCCCUUCGAGGGUAAGGGAAAUCGCUUGAUCCCCCAAGAAUUUGACGCGCCAAUUGAGGUUUCGAGUCAGGCUCACCCAAAUCAUUGUAGACAUCGUAAUCAUAUAUUCUUUCCCAUUCCUUGCGCUCUCCAGUUCCAUCUCCUCUUAAAGUCUUCAAUUCUUCUUGUCUGUAGUACACUAAUGGAGCCGGUGUUUCACUUGGAAGGUAUGUCUACAUAAAUUUAAUCAUUCAAAAUAUCAAGUUUUAGGAAAUAGGCUUAAUAUUCAGCAAGCUAUAUAGUUAUUAUGAUAAAGUGGAUUUGUGAUUUGAGACAUCAGAAAGAGAUUGGGAGUUGCAAGUUCUCAACUCCCUCUACUCGCAUUUCUAAAAACUAAUUACUAAUAUUUGUCGUUAUAAUAGAAAUAACAAGCUACAUGUGUAAUAGAAUUUUUAUUCUUACCUUGUUGGCAAAGAAGAUGCGGUCGGUUUUGUACUUUUUAGAAUUGUAAAUCCAUGAGUUGCAGACAAAGUGGAUGGAUCCAUGGUUUGGAACAUCUUCAAGUGUCAAACUCACAAGGAAGAAUUCACCUUGCAUAAAAUUAUCGAUGUAAAAAGCUCCGGGAAUUCCCAUGUUACUGUCCCAUUCAAAAUGAAUACUGAAAGCAUUUUGUUUGUCUCCCAAUGUUGGUAUGGAGGUAAGAAGACCUUCCAGAAAUGUUUCCUUUCCCACUUUUCCUUUUCCAGCAGCUAUAUUAAAAAUGUCAAAUAUUAUUAGUUUCUCAAUUUCACUAAUCCAUGAUUUUCAAAGUUUAAUUUUAUUCUUUUACAGAUCCAUUUUUCUUUUUACAUGAUCAUCAUCCAUCUUGCCUGAGUUAUAUCGAAGGGAAAUAAUUUCAAUAUUUUAGUGGUAAUUGAUUGUACCUGAUCAUUUAUAACCAAUAUUCUACAUCAAAAUCUCCAUUGCACAUUUUUAAUUUAAUAAAAAAAACAAAAGGGAAAAUAAGGUAAAUCUUAAUGGAUUGAUGUAUCAAAAACUCUUCUUGAAUAAUAGGCUGGCUUGGUGGUGUGGUGGAAGAGUUAUGGAGUAAUUAAUGCAGUCUGAGUUCAAUUCUUACAUCUAGCAAAAACUAACAACCGACAUAAUACUCAUUCGAUAUUAUUUAUAAGAAAUAAUGAAUUUUUUGAUUUAUUGAAUAAUUAAUGUAUAUGAUAUAUAUUCUAGAUCGAAUACAUAAAUUAUUCAAUGAAUCUAAAAAAUUAAUUAUUUCUUAUAAAUAGGAUUGGAUGAAGUAAUAUUUAUUGCUUAAAAAAAUAAAACUCCUCAAUAUUUUGUUGUUAAAUCAGAGAUAUCCUCCACGUGCAAAUGUCUGUCACUUAUGUUAUGUCACACAAUGUUGGUAAAAGAGUCUAAGUAAAGAGAUCAUAGAAGUAUGAAAAGAAGCAAUUUUAAAUAGAAAAAGAUAGUAGAAUUUACAAUUUUAAAAAUCUAAUAAGACAGAAGUUCAAAUAUAAAGUAUAUAGAUGGGGAUGUCAAAUUUUAAAUAGCUUAUGGUACAAGAUUAAUUUAAAAAAUUUAAGUGAGCAUGUGCACCCAUCACGUAGAUCCAUACAUACCAAAUGACAAAGAUAAAGUCCAAAACAGUUGCCAAACGCCAAAUAUCACACUUAUUUGCAUUAUAUAUACUUCUUUUUUUACAAAACCAUUAGAUAUACUCCCUUUAAUAUACAUUGGAUAUAAGUUUUUAUAUAGUCAUUUUUUAUUCCAAUAGUACUAUUUUUUCCAUAUCAUUUUAUUACUUAAUCAAAUGUCCAAAUUAUUUUAAAUAGUUACUUAAAUAAUUUCAUAAUUUCUUUAUUUUAAUUAAGAAGAGACAACGAUGAAAUUUUUGUCUGUCAAGUAAGGAUAUAGUUUUGCAGUUAAUAAAAGAAUAUAAACACAAUUUUUUUCUUUUCAUAAAUUUCAUCAAAGAAGGUAAUCAAUCUUAUUCAGAAUCCGUCGAUCAGACACUAAAUGUGAUACCUCUCUCAAUCAAGAUUCUAAAAUCAUUCUCGUCCGUUAGAUCCAAUUACUUCCAUUGGUGUACACAUAAUUUAAAUAAGUUAUAUCAAUCAAUUAAUUAAAAUGCCUAUUUCUUGUAUGAAUUAAACAUAGUGAGAAAGGUCCUCGUGAACUAGCUCAAUUGAUAGAGACAUAUAAUAUAAUAUAUGCAGGGGUUGAAGUCCGAACCCUAAACAUCCGACUUCUCCAUAUUUAAAAUGUGUGAGCUCCCGUCACUGGGUUAAUUGACAAAAAGAAAAAUAGAGUGAGAAAGAGAAAUGAGUUAUUACCAUCAGCACUUGUAGCACUAAUCAACCUGAGAGCUAUAGAACGUCCCAAGAAGGAAGUGGCAGUAUCAAGUAUAUUGCCAGCAACAUCACCAACAAUACCAAAGGCACCACCAAUGAUACCAGUAGGGCUUUUAGCAGCAGUGAGGGCGUUGAUAUCCAAAGUAUUCUUUUGCAUCAACACCACAGUUCCCUUCAACUUUUGGCCUCUAUCAAAGAGACCUGUUACACCAGAAAACAUCUUUGAAUAUGCUUUAAAUGUAUUACACUAUAUAUGGUAAAUGAAAGAAAGGCUUGUGUCUUGUAACCAUAGGGGUGGUUAGUAUUUAUAGUAGUUGAUGAGAUUAGGAUCACAAUGUUAUAGUUCAAAUGAGGUGAUAUUUUUAUUCAACUACUCAUUUACAACAUGGUGGAAUGCAAUUGGUCACGUCUUAUGCUAAUUUUUUAUUAUGAGUGAUUAUCUCGUGGUAUAUAAAAUAAUAAUAUAUCCGAUUGCAAAAUUAUUUUGGUAGUUGUUAUAUGUGCCAGCCUUGGCAUUAUGUUCAAUAAUAAUGACUCUGUUUGCUCUAUUGUUAAUUAUUACUACUAUCUUACGUGUCUGCAUUGGUUUUCUCGAGUUUUCUCAUAUUUUUUAAAGUGGGAAAAUCUCUACCCUUAAAAUUCAUUUCUUUCUUAUUUUAAUUUCAAAAUCUCUCCUCUUUUUUUUUUUUUUUUUUUUUUCUUUUUCUUUUUCUUUCUCUCAUACUAUCAAAUCAAGAUUAGGAUUGGACUUGAGAUACAUUUGCUUAGUCACAAACAUAAAAAUGAGUCAUUUAACACACACAAUGUAAUAAAAAAAAUUGAUUUGGUGUUGUGGUCUAAUUUAACACUUACUAUAUAAGUAUUUCUCCAUCCAAAGAUGGAUCCAAAAAUCUAUUAGCAAUUUUAGUUCACGGCCUAAUUUAUUCUCUUGUUUGGGAGUCUUUUGUAACAAUUUUUGUUUUUUUAUUUUGGGUUGACGGCAAGACCUUUGUCUUUUGAUGUAACUAUACUCUUUUUCCUUGUUCUUUUGGCACUUUCUGUGCUGGAAUAGCAGAUAUUUUUCAAAUAUAAGCAAUCAACGUUUGUUCUAGGGCGCUCUAUAUAUGGAUAAUGUUAUCAGCCACGUUUUUGACAUUUGCAUCAAUUUUUUUCUUUAUAAAUGAUGAAUAAGACAUGUAUUACUAAUGAUGGUUGAUAUUCCAGCUAUCAUGGAAUCCAAGUCGCCAUAGUACAAUGUUUUUAAAAUCCCAGCUAUGUUGGCAACCCAAAACAUCGUGUGUCAAAUGCGCCACAUCUUAUAUAUUAUUAAUAAUAAAAAAUACAAAAACGAAAAAAGUUGAGUUAAACUCAACAAAGCUAAUUAAAAUGAUAGGUAUGCAUACCAAACCUAUCUAAAAAAACCACUGAUAAUAAAACUAGGACAUAUAUACCACCAUUGAAAAUCUCCAAUUAGUUUACAAAUAUCAACGAAAAAACUUCUCCUUUUCCUCUUGUGACAUAGAUGAUCUCCAGUAGGUUUCUGCGUUUUUCCUCUUCAGUUUCGUGUUUUGCUGCUUGCGUUGGGGGUGUGAAAAUUAAACACUGAUGACUUGUGAAAAAAAGAAGCAUAAAGGGCUGCUGGACUAAAGUCUGAUAAUUGUUGGUCCCUCUAUUAUUUUUGUUAUAUACACCCCUCUAUAAACGAUUAUUGUUAUAUACACCCUCGUAUAAAAAAAUUAGGUCCCUAAAGGCAUGGGCCCUAGGCUGCCGCACCCCAUCCUAUAUCUAUGGCUGGCCCUGAAUGUUAUCGUUGUAAUAGAAGUGGUUUAAUAUAUAAAAUGAAAGACAUAAGGUAAAUAGGGUAAUGUUGCAUUAAAAAUGGAUGUUGGUAAGGCAUGUGGCAUUGAUAGGUCAUUUGAAAGAAAUUUUGAUGAAGAUGAGGUUAUGUCAGUAGUGAAUGAACUAGAUAAUGAUGUGUAUUAAAAUGGUGGAUUAUUCCAUUAUUGUUAACAAUGAAAUCACAUGACCAAUCAUACUCGGACGAGGCCUUCAUCGGAGAGAUUCUUUGUCUCAUUGUUUAUUCUGUGUGCAGAAGGCCUAUGUGCUCUUAUUAAGUAUGUCGAGGCUAGUGGAGAGCUUCAUGGGGUCAAAAUUUGUCGAAACACUUUGAUUAUUACUCGAAUUUUAUUUGCAGAUGACUACUUUCUAUUUUUCAGGGAAGGUGAAGCGCCGAGACUCAAAAUAUGAAGCAAAUUUUGAGGUUGUACAGAGCAACGUCUGGAUAUUACAGCUUAAAUGCCCAACAAUCCCUUCAAAAUGCUUUUACAACAACCUUAGGGGGGUCAGGCGGUGUUAUGCACAAUGAAGUACAUCGGACUACCCUCUAUGAUUGGUAGAAGAAGGAAUGUUACGUUCAGCUUUCUCAAAGAUAUGACUGGAGCAACAAGUAUUUGUGAAAGGAAGAUAUAAUGAUAAAAACAUGUACUGCAAGCAAUACCAUCUUAUGGAAUUAGAAUUUUCUUACUUUCUACCAUGUUCUUUGAUGCCAACGAAAAGAUUAUUAACACGUACGUACUGGUGGGGUCAUGGUGGUUCCACAAUUAGAGGUAUUGACUGGUUAUCAAGGGACAUGCUUGUUGUCUACAAAUUUUUUGGAGGUUUGGGGUUUAAAUACUUGACGUCAUUCAACUAAGCAAUGUUAGGAAAACAAGAUCGGAAAUUCCACACACACUUGGACUGUUUGGUAUCAAGACUGUUCAAGGCGCUCUAUUUUCCUCAUGGAAGCUAUCUAGACCGAAAGUGAUGACAGAGCACUAUAUGACAUUUUGGGCUAUGUUUUUAGUACUUUUAUUUGCAUUUGAAGACAUAUAAGUUGAGAGAUAGAGGAGUUGUUAAUGGUUUGGGAAACAUAUUGUAUUGUUUUCAAUCGAGCCGUUGUUCUUGAUGCUUGACAGUUUAAGGAACCUCUAGGGUAUGUUUUUUAAACAUCGUUGUUCCUUGAUUGAGGAACCUCUAGAUAUUUCAUGAAGUGUAAUUCCUUUAGAUGACAAUUUAAGAGUCACACGGGAUGUUGCAGUCAAAAGAUGUGAUCAUGGCUUUCAUAAUUGAGUUAUGGAUAAAACGACAUCUGUAGGAAUAUUCUCUCUAUAGUAAACCACCGUUUAUGUAAUUUUUAGGUUUUAAUUAAUAGGUACUUUGCAUUAAUCCAACAAAGAGGGAAGAGGGAAGAGGGGAUUCAAGGAUUCCCUAAUCACCGUUAUACAUCUAAAUCACACAAACAUAAUCUUUCUUUGGAUAGGGAAAUUUAACCAUGCAAAUCUUUUUUUCAUCUCUUUUCUAUUUUCUUUCUAAUAAGUUUUGCUAAUUACCGAAAAACUUGCUACUUUAUUAAUUGUUAUGAUUUGGUGCACUUGCCAAUUUCGUCCUUCAGAAAGCUUGGACAUAAAUCAAAGCUUUAGUUGGAGAAGAAUAUUUACCGCUAAGAGAGUAGUACAAAAAGUUGCUCGGUGGAAGAUCAGAUCGGGUACAAAGUUUCAAUUUUUUAUGCUUUGUGGGUAAAAGAUGGGACAAGUAUUCUAGGAGAUGGUCAACCUCUCAAGGUAAUUCAACAGGCUAAAGUGCACAAUCUCGUUGAUCAAGAAUUUCCCGUAUAGAACAAUCAUAUUGUAAACCAGUGUUUUGAUCAACUUAUAAAUGAGCUCAUUCUGAGUACUCCUUUAAUUGAGUCUGUUAAAGAAAGAUAAAUUAAUUUUUAAAUCAAAGAAAAAUGAACAUUACUCGGUAAAAAUUGUGUACAAGAUUUAUACAUAAAAUAGUGCAGGCAACUCAUAUUUAUGUCAGUAAGGUCAUUGGCUGGAAUUUAGAAGUUAAAGGUGCAUCCCAAAGUGAAGGAUUUCAUUUGGCUGAUUUAUCAAGGUUGCUUACCGACGCGUGUAAGGCUGAAAGAUCGAAGUCUCCAUUGUCUGUCUAUUUGUAUGAUGUGCACCGGUAACUAUGGGGAUGCAAUGCAUAUAUUGUUUGAUUCUCCGUAAAUAGGAUAUGUAUAUAUUUUUCUCAAGUGCAUUAAUUUUAUCAUUCAUAGCUCCAGCCCAGUUUAUAUUUUUAAAUGUUUCUUCAAUAGAUGAUUUGAUUCUCACAUAAUCAACGGCAACAAUAAAACUUUGAUUGUGUGGAAAGUUGUUUAGUGGAGACAUAUUGAGAAAUAUGUAUGAUAUCUAUAUAUAGAGGGACAGAUCGAUAACAUUUGCAAUCAUCUACAACAGGCCAUGUUACCCAAGAACAAUCAUCAAUAAAAGAAACAAACCACCUUGCCCCAUAAAUAUUAGAAACAACAAGAAAUAUUAGAAACAGGGGCCGAUCGGCAGACAUCAAAAUGAAUAAGAUCAAAUGGUUCAACACUUUUACGAAGAUUCAACGAAAAAAGUGGUAUGUGUACGCUUAUAAAAUGGAUAUAUAUAUCACAUUUAAAAGACUAAAUCGAUUGCAUUAAAAAACAAAGAUGGAAACAUAAACUUCAUUAGUUGAAAAUGAGGAUGACAAAGACGUUUGUGCUGAAGCCAAAUUUGAGAGGCAGAAUAAGACUCUGACUAAGACUGAAGUGCAGAAGACAACACCUUCUGAUCAAUUCGUGCAUCAUACAAAUAAUAUAGCCCUCCUUGUUCCUAAGCAACUCCAAUCGUCUUUCCCAUUACAAGAUCCUCGAAAGCACAAUGUGAAUCAAAAAAUAUUACUGCACAAAUAUUAUCCUUUAUAAGCUUACGAACAUAGAUAAGGUUAUUCCAAAGACAAGGAACAUGAAGCAUAUCUUUCAACUUAAAAGGUUCAAGGUUAAUUUCUCCACAACCAUCUACACGAGUAUGAGAACCAUAUGCAGCCGCAAAAAAGAAUGUCAUAUGAAGAAAUUUACUUCAAAAAGGCCAAGAACCAAUGUCAUAUGAUCAAUAGCACUAUAGUCAAUAAUAUAAUCAACAUUUCAAGCAAAAACCACAUAUAACUAUUUUCAGUCACAUUGGCUGAUAACUACAAAAGAAUCUCCUCAAAAGAACAACAAAAAGAAGAGGCUUCAAAUAACAAAAAAUAGGCAACAAGGUAAAAACCGUAAGUCGCAACAACGUAAAAUCACCAAAUAAAAGUCAAACUGAAUCACAAAGGGUCCUCAAAGAUGCUGGUAGUCACAAACAAGCACAAAACAACCGCUAUCAAUCAGUUAGUGUCAAGAGUACCCACGUAAAAUAGUAUCUUGGUCUUGGAUCAAGAUUUUGACCCCUUAAACGAACCAAUUAUGUGAAGACUAUAAUUUCUAGGAAUAAAUGGUGUCGAAUGGUGGUUCACAAGGUGGCAUGUGCAUCGCACUUGAUGGAGCUUCACUUUAGAUUGGGCCUCUGCUCUCAACUUCUCAAGUUCUUCUUCAAAAAGUAUUUGAGAACAAAUUUUUAUAGCCCUUUCGUUUAAAAAAUCUUUUUAGUUUUGCCAUAUUAGUUGAUGUAUGAUUCUUUAACUGUAUUUACAUUGGAAAAACAAUUGGCAGUGGAAAUAAAAUCAUUAUGAUCUAUUAUUGCUUUUUCAAUGUUAUCAUUUUUUUGUCAUGCUAUAUUGCAUAUUUGCAUUGAGAGCUUUUUUGUCAUGAAAUAAAAUAUGAAGUUUGCAUUUUAUAUACAAAGUAAAUCACACAACAAAAUAGAAACAUAGUAACUUUUAUUGAUGAAAUACAUUAUAACAAUCAAACAUGAUAGUUUUUAUUGAUAAAACACAUUACAGAAUUAAAAACAAACGUACAUAAUAACAUAACAUGACGAUAUACAUAGGGGGCGAGGGAAUUGGAUUCCUCCUCCUCUUUUAUUAAUAGCGACAACGCAACAACCACGACGUUUUUUAGAUAGAGACACUGUUGGGAAUGCCUCUGCAAGUCAAUCCUUCCUCACUAGAAGGAUAAAGCAGAGUGUAAGGCAUCUUCACUGGUCCGUUACGAUUCCUCAGUGUCUCAUCAUUGUUCCUUUGAAUGAGUUUUUGCUCAAUUUCAGCCAACUUCUUUCCAAACCUCUUAAAGGACUCUUUUGGCUGUGAAUCAGAAGUCCAGAGAUCACCUUCAAUUCUCUCUCCAAGGUAUUGCUCAUCAGAAGCAUGCCUUGACAAGACUUCUAUAAUGGUCAAGUCAGUAAGAGUAUCAUUCUUGGGUGUUAUUGUCCUCAGAUAAGACUUCUGGUAGUCCUUAGCAAGCUCAUCAUACUCAGGGGAUCCCUGCUCAGGCAUGAAUCUUCUACUUUUAGUUGGUCGGUUAACGAUAUAUCCUCCAUACGGAUAUUGUCCAAAAUUAACUGCUGCAUGAAGUGCUGAAGCAAUCCAUAUGAGGGUGGUGCAAGCUUCAAUCAACUCCUCACGAGUUUGCAUCUUAAACCACCAUGUAGCAUUCUUCAAGUCACCAUGACCGACCUCUACAAGUUCUUUCCAGAAUGCUUGGAGUUCAGAAUCUUGUGCAAUAGAUGCAUCUGACUUGUAGUAGAAAUUGACAUAUUCAUCAACCCAUGAUUUAAUAGCAGCCCAUAUUUCUAGUCCAUCUGAAGCAUAAGGGUAGUCCUCUAUUAGAAGUCGAAGACCAUAUGCUGAAGUAGGGUCCUCAACGGCCACUCCUCUAUAGAACAAGCAAAGGAAGAUAACAUUAACAUACAAAAAAAAAAGAUAGUUAGGAAAGUUACUUAGAGUUUGUUUGAUUGGUAGUUACUUUGUUGAUUCUCUACUAGCUCUAUACAUGGCUACAAAGUCAAACAUUUACCAUUGAACUGAAACCGUGUGGUAUUAUACUUGAGAUCAAUAUCUUUUUAAAAAACGGACUGAGUCAAGAUGUAAUGUUUUGUAAGGUUACCUUUUGAUUAGAUCAUUAGGUAGGCCUUGCUCAGUGAAAACCCAAUCCUUGUAAACGACAGAAGACAUUUCCAAAGCAUACUUUCCCCACAAGAAAGUUGACUCGAUAAUACCCUCGGCAUUGACCAACACAUUUCGUGCUAGUGCAUUUAUGUUCAUCGUGUCACGAUAAUGUGGAAGCAGAAGUUUAUGAAUAGGGUGAACCACACUUAGAUGCCUAUUUGUUGCUAUGACGAAUGGCUCAACUACAGCAUGAGUGUUCAACCUGUCACACAUUGUAGAUAAAUUUUCAUCAAAUUACUCAUAGAUGUAUAAAAUUUAUUUGAUUGUUUAAAUAUCAUAAACGAAAUUCAUACCAAUGGCUAACAAGUUGGUGAUAACAUGAAUCAUUUACAAUUACGUAAGCCUUGGCAAGGAGCCAAAUUGAAGCUUCAACACCUUCACUUGCAGGCAAGUAAACUUUGCUAACAGGACCAAAACUAUCACCUUGAGGGUGUGGCCUACUUAGUUCAAUGGCCAAUGGCUUCAAAGUUCCAUCAUCUUGCAAGAAAAGAAUGGUUCUAGUAGCAUAGGCCUUAGUCUCGGUUGCAUUUAUUUUCCUCAAAUAUGGAAAGAGUGGGUCGUGGUGAUCCAGUAUG
rnacentral:lncRNA from 1 species